rnacentral:rRNA from 1 species
AUCAACUUUCGAUGGUAGGAUAGAGGCCUACCAUGGUGGUAACGGGUAACGGGGUGUUAGGUCACGACACCGGAGAGGGAGCUGAGAAACGGCUACCACAUCCAAGGAUGGCAGCAGGCGCGCAAAUUACCCAAUCCCGACACGGGGAGGUAGUGACAAUAAAUAACAAUACGGGGUUCUUUCGGAUUUCGUAAUUGGAAUGAGUACAAUUUAAAUCUCUUAACGAGGAACAAUUGGAGGGCAAGUCUGGUGCCAGCAGCCGCGGUAAUUCCAGCUCCAAUAGCGUAUAUUAAAGUUGCUGCAGUUAAAAAGCUCGUAGUUGAAUUUCGGGAUCAAUAUGUUGGUCGUGCCUCGGUACGUACUAGCUUAUUGGUUUCUCCCUUCUGACGAACCAUGAUGUCAUUUAUUUGGUGUUAUGGGAAAUCAGGACUGUUACUUUGAAAAAAUUAGAGUGUUUAAAGCAGGCUCACGCUUGAAUACAUUAGCAUGGAAUAAUGAAAUAGGACGUUUGAUUCUAUUUUGUUGGUUUCUAGGAUCGACGUAAUGAUUAAUAGGGAUAGUUGGGGGCAUUAGUAUUCAAUUGUCAGAGGUGAAAUUCUUGGAUUUAUUGAAGACUAACUACUGCGAAAGCAUUUGCCAAGGAUGUUUUCAUUAAUCAAGAACGAAAGUUAGGGGAUCGAAGACGAUCAGAUACCGUCGUAGUCUUAACCAUAAACUAUGCCGACUAGGGAUCGGAUGAUGUUAAUUUUUUAAUGACUCAUUCGGCGCCUUACGGGAAACCAAAGUGUUUGGGUUC